AUUGAUCUCUGAGCCUGUGGAGAAAGAGCGGAGGCGCUGUGCGGUUUUCCGUGGGGGUGUCAGCUCCGGCCCGUGGCGGAAGAAGGAGCCAAGACCGGGAUCGCUUUUUUGCCCCUUCCUCACCUACAUCCCGGUCACGAAGAGGGAGUGGAAGUUCCAAAUUGCAGAAUGAUGUUCAAGGAAGUGGGAUAUACCAAGAACACAGAUCACACAUCCAAAGUAAGCAAUGGACAACAAACAGACUGGCUGAAGUAGAAGAUUUAUAUAUGUCAUGAGUGUGCCACAGAAAAUGAAAACGGACAAUGGACAAGGAUAUUGCAGUAAAACUUUUGAAAGUUUUGUUCAGCAAUGGAAAUUUGUACACACUACAGGAAUACCCUAUAAUUCCCAAGGUCAGGCCAUAGUAGAAAGGGCCAAUCAGACUCUUAAGACACAAUUAGAAAAACAAAAGAAAGGGGAAAGUAGUAAGGAGUAUACCAAGUCCCAUAGGCAGUUACGAUUAGCCCUUUUGACUCUAAAUUUUUUGAACAUUUCCAGAGAUCAGGUCUCCACAGCAGCCGAACACUUUUCUGGACAGAAAGUUAAUUUACAUGAAGGAAAAACGGUCUGGUGGAAGGACACCAGAACUAAAACUUGGGAAUUGGGAAAAAUUAUCACCUGGGGGAGGGCUUUUGCUUGUGUUUCACCAAGAGACAAUCAAACACCCAUUUAGAUACCCAACAGACAUUUGAAAUUCUACAAUGAACCCUACACCGACCGGACAGAAGAAAGGGAAGAAUCCAAAGAGGAAGACUGGUCCCUCUGAUCUGUCCUUUCGGGAGCUGAGAAAGAUGGCGAAGCUGAGCAUCUCAGAGAAACAACAGAAGAUGGAGAAGACUCGCCAGGCUACACCACCAACAGAACAGGUAAAGAAGCUGACUCAAAUGGCAGAGGACAGCCUAAAGGAGAAACAACUGGCAAUUACCCCGGGUAAUAUGAUCUUGGCUGCCUUGAUGGUAAUUACCGCGGCGAUAAGUCUCCCUGCUGUCUGGGCUGAACAAAAUUUUACAUACUGGCUUCUGUUCCAUUUCCUCCUUUAAUUAGGCCAGUUACUUGGACGGAUUCCCCUAUUGAAGUUUACACAAAUGACAGUAUUUUGAUGCCUGGGCCGAUUGAUGAUUGCUGUCCUGCACAGCCUGAGAGGGAGGGCAUGUUGAUGAAUGUAACAGUCUGGUAUGAAUACCCUCCAAUUUGUUGAGG